UGACAGCUUUGGAUCUAGUUUCAUCCUGU
rnacentral:piRNA from 1 species